rnacentral:rRNA from 1 species
UACGGGGGGGGCAAGCGUUGUUCGGAAUUACUGGGCGUAAAGGGCUCGCAGGUGGCCAACUAAGUCAGACGUGAAAUCCCUCGGCUUAACCGGGGAACUGCGUCUGAUACUGGAUGGCUUGAGUUCGGGAGAGGGAUGCGGAAUUCCUGGUGUAGCGGUGAAAUGCGCAGAUAUCAGGAGGAACACCGGUGGCGAAGGCGGGUCUCUGGGCCGAUACUGACGCUGAGGUGCGAAAGCGUGGGGAGCAAACAGG